rnacentral:lncRNA from 1 species
UAAUAAUCACUAUAUUUCUAAGGCAAUUUCAACACAAUCAAAAUUCAAAACAUUUACUUGUCAGGUUUAAGCUUAGAACAUGUACCUGUUCCCUUGUGGUUGAUUUCGAGGGGAGUAAUAAUAUUACCUUACAAUUGUACAUGCUUUGGUUCCUAUUGUAGGCAAAGAGGACAAAUCCCCACAUUUUGACGUCAACCAAAAUAGAGAGAAAAUAAAACCAACACCAUCGGAGUGUGUUAAAUGCAAAACUGGAGGCCAUCAACCUCAACCUUAUUGUCAUUGUCCUAACCAUAUCCAGCCAUAAUUCCUUAGAUUGUUGUCGCGGAUGGCUGGAAACUAUUUAACCGGAGGCAUGUAAUCACUGAACUAAGGAAUUAUCCGCAUACAUUGCGCAACUCCCCCAGAAUACAACCGGUUCUUCUCGGUGAUAAACAUACCGAGGCUAUCAAGACACGAGAAUAUUAACAAGGUUGGUAACUCAGGCACUU